ACGUCAAGUCCUCAUGGCCCUUACGGGUUGGGCUACACACGUGCUACAAUGGUAGAAACAAUAGGAAGCAAUAGUGCAAGCUGGAGCAAAUCCUUUAAACCCUACCUAAGUUCAGAUUGUUCUCUGCAACUCGAGAACAUGAAGCAGGAAUUGUUAGUAAUCGUGGAACAGCAUGCCACGGUGAAUAAGUACACGGGCCUUGUACAUACCGCCCGUCACACCAUGGAAAUUAAUUUUAUUUGAAGUAGAAUUGUUAACCUUUUAGGAGACAACCUAUCAAGGUCGAAUUAGUAACUGGGGUGAAGUCGGAACAAGGUAGCCGUAGGGGAAC
rnacentral:rRNA from 1 species